CGUGGGGAGCAAACAGGAUUAGAUACCUGGUAGUCACGCCGUAAACGAUGUCGAUUUGGAAGGUGUUCCUUGAGAGUGGCUUCCGGAGCUAACGCGUUAAAUCGACCGCCUGGGGAGUACGGCCGCAAGGUUAAAACUCAAAUGAAUUGACGGGGGCCCGCACAAGCGGUGGAGCAUGUGGUUUAAUUCGAUGCAACGCGAAGACCUUACCUACUCUUGACAUCCAGAGAAUUUAGCAGAGAUGCUUUAGUGCCUUCGGGAACUCUGAGACAGGUGCUGCAUGGCUGUCGUCAGCUCGUGUUGUGAAAUGUUGGGUUAAGUCCCGCAACGAGCGCAACCCUUAUCCUUUGUUGCCAGCACAUUAUGGUGGGAACUCAAAGGAGACUGCCGGUGAUAAACCGGAGGAAGGUGGGGAUGACGUCAAGUCAUCAUGGCCCUUACGAGUAGGGCUACACACGUGCUACAAUGGCGUAUACAAAGAGAAGCGACCUCGCGAGAGCAAGCGGAACUCAUAAAGUACGUCGUAGUCCGGAUUGGAGUCUGCAACUCGACUCCAUGAAGUCGGAAUCGCUAGUAAUCGUAGAUCAGAAUGCUACGGUGAAUACGUUCCCGGGCCUUGUACACACCGCCCGUCACACCAUGGGAGUGGGUUGCAAAAGAAGUAGGUAGCUUAACCUUCGGGAGGGCGCUUACCACUUUGUGAUUCAUGACUGGGGUGAAGUCGUAACAAGGUAACCA
rnacentral:rRNA from 1 species